CAAGUAUCUAGGAAGAUUGUUCUGGACCAGGCAGUCCUGAAUUUUAUUAUAAAGGACUGCCAACCCCUAUUGUGGAGAGUGAGGGGUUCAGGGAGCUGGUUCAGGCCCAUACGUUUUGCCAACCAGAAAGACCAUCAAGGAAUUGAUAGCAAACAAACAUGCGGAGGAACUCGGACCAGUGAAGUACAGCAAGCUGUGGCAAUCCAGCACUACAGCCAACGAAAAGCUUGCUCAAGUGCAGCAUCAGGUGGGAUGGCCCGUCUUGAAACUUGU